rnacentral:rRNA from 1 species
ACUCCUGGACGGGAAGGCAGCUAGUGAGGAAUAUUGGACAAUGGGCGGGAGCCUGAUCCAGCCAUGCCGCGUGCAGGAAGACUGCCCUAUGGGUUGUAAACUGCUUUUAUACGGGAAGAAACACUCCCUCGUGAGGGAAUUUGACGGUACCGUAAGAAUAAGGAUCGGCUAACUCCGUGCCAGCAGCCGCGGUAAUACGGAGGAUCCAAGCGUUAUCCGGAAUCAUUGGGUUUAAAGGGUCCGUAGGUGGACGAUUAAGUCAGAGGUGAAAUCUUGCAGCUCAACUGUAAAAUUGCCUUUGAUACUGGUUGUCUUGAGUUAUUAUGAAGUGGUUAGAAUAUGUAGUGUAGCGGUGAAAUGCAUAGAUAUUACAUAGAAUACCAAUUGCGAAGGCAGAUCACUAAUAAUAUACUGACACUGAUGGACGAAAGCGUGGGUAGCGAACAGGAUUAGAUACCCUGGUAGGCUCUG